rnacentral:misc_RNA from 1 species
UUUCCGUAGGUGAACCUGCGGAAGGAUCAUUAAAAAAUGUGGUACCGAUUGUUGGUACUAAUUAAUCAUCCUACCCUUUGUGAAUUUGUUUGUAACGAAUUUUUUAAAUGGGUCUUUCCCUAAGUUGGAUUGUAGUAAAAUACAAAAAGACUUAGGGGAAUGACUUUUUUAAAAGACUUUUUUUUAAUUAAAACUUUUUGUAUUCAUUUGUCUAAAAUUUAUUUUUAUAAUAUAAAAACAACUUUUGACAAUGGAUCUCUUGGUUCUCGCAACGAUGAAGAACGCAGCAAAAUGCGAUAAGUAGUGUGAAUUGCAGAAUACGUGAAUCAUCGAAUCUUCGAACGCAUAUUGCACUUUUUUAGUUUACUAAAAAAGUAUGUCUGUUUGAGUAUCAGUAAAAUAUUCUCACAAAACAAUUGUUUUUUGUGGUUAUGAGUGUUUUACAACGAUAAACAAGUUGUUUCACUUUAAAUUCUUUUUAAUUGAAUUUUACCAAUUCAUAAAUUUAAAAUUGGAUAAAAUUUUCCUUUAACGAGGAAUAACCUAAACAAUUUUAAAUUUUUAUGGAUUGUAAAAUUCAUAAAGGAAUCUAUACAACAAAUAACUUGAUCUCAAAUCAGAUAAGAGCACCCGCUGAACUUAAGCAUAUCAAUAAGCGGAGGAAAAGAAACUAACAAGGAUUCCCUUAGUAACGGCGAGUGAAGCGGGAAGAGCUCAAAUUUGAAAUCUUCAAGGUUUGACCUUGACGAAUUGUAGUUUAUAGAAGUGUUUUCUGUUGGAGUUUUGGUAAAAGUUCUUUGGAAUAGGACAUCAUAGAGGGUGAGAAUCCCGUAUUUGACCAUGACUUUCCAGCUGUGUGAUACACUUUCAAAGAGUCGGAUUGUUUGGGAAUGCAGUCCAAAAUGGGUGGUAAAUUUCAUCUAAAGCUAAAUAUUGGCGAGAGACCGAUAGCGAACAAGUACCGUGAGGGAAAGAUGAAAUGAACUUUGAAAAGAGAGUUAAACAGUACGUGAAAUUGUCGAAAGGGAAGCGUUUGACACCAGUGUUGUUUCUCGAAAAUCAAUUUAAUGAGUUCUUGUUUUUAAGUUAUUGAGACUUUAUCAGCGCAUUUCUUAUUUUACUUGACUCAUUGAAUGCACUUUUCGUUUAACAAGUCAACAUCAAUUUCUUUGGUGGUAAAAAGUUUAAAGGAAGGUGGCUUGGGCUUCGGUUCAAGUGUUUAUAGCCUUUUUUCUAUGCCAUCGGAGAGAUUGAGGUCUGCAGCGUAGAUCCUCGGGGUUAGAUACCUUUGUGCUAAGUUAUAGUUUUUUAUAGACAACUUGUUGACUAUAAUUAACCCUGUAAUUUACUCGCUUAGGCUAUUUUACCUACGCU